rnacentral:lncRNA from 1 species
UUAUUUAUUGAUGGUGGAGGGAUGGUGCUCGGUUCCCGCUCUGCUUUUUGGAGUGCUGGUUUAUGCAGGGUGAAGUCUGCAGCAACAAUUAGCCCACACUUGUGAGAAUCCUUUCUCCAGUGUGGGAAGUGCCACAUGCCGGACCCCAUUGCAGGGUGAGUGUGGGCUGUGGAAGUGUUUCUUACUGGCUCAAAGCAGUGUGCAGCUCUGGCUCUGUGGAGGUGGGUGAGGGCUGCGACAGGGCCUCCUGUGGCAGGGAUCAACAUAAGCUGUAAUGCAGGAUCUGUGCUGCAGCCCUUCUCCCUUCAAGUUCUAGGGAUGAGCAGGAUGAGGCUGUGUCCUGUUGUUCAGGCAGGGUGA